rnacentral:rRNA from 1 species
UACGAAGGGGGCUAGCGUUGUUCGGAUUUACUGGGCGUAAAGCGCACGUAGGCGGAUGUGUCAGUCAGGGGUGAAAUCCCGGGGCUCAACCUCGGAACUGCCUUUGAUACAGCACGUCUCGAGUCCGGAAGAGGUGGGUGGAAUUCCUAGUGUAGAGGUGAAAUUCGUAGAUAUUAGGAAGAACACCGGUGGCGAAGGCGGCCCACUGGUCCGGUACUGACGCUGAGGUGCGAAAGCGUGGGGAGCAAACAGG